CAGCAGUGAGGAAUAUUGGUCAAUGGACGAGAGUCUGAACCAGCCAAGUAGCGUGAAGGAUGACUGCCCUAUGGGUUGUAAACUUCUUUUAUAAAGGAAUAAAGUCGGGUAUGGAUACCCGUUUGCAUGUACUUUAUGAAUAAGGAUCGGCUAACUCCGUGCCAGCAGCCGCGGUAAUACGGAGGAUCCGAGCGUUAUCCGGAUUUAUUGGGUUUAAAGGGAGCGUAGGCGGACGCUUAAGUCAGUUGUGAAAGUUUGCGGCUCAACCGUAAAAUUGCAGUUGAUACUGGGUGUCUUGAGUACAGUAGAGGCAGGCGGAAUUCGUGGUGUAGCGGUGAAAUGCUUAGAUAUCACGAAGAACUCCGAUUGCGAAGGCAGCCUGCUGGACUGUAACUGACGCUGAUGCUCGAAAGUGUGGGUAUCAAACAGGAUUAGAUACCCUGGUAGUCCACACAGUAAACGAUGAAUACUCGCUGUUUGCGAUAUACAGUAAGCGGCCAAGCGAAAGCGUUAAGUAUUCCACCUGGGGAGUACGCCGGCAACGGUGAAACUCAAAGGAAUUGACGGGGGCCCGCACAAGCGGAGGAACAUGUGGUUUAAUUCGAUGAUACGCGAGGAACCUUACCCGGGCUUGAAUUGCAACUGAAUGAUGUGGAGACAUGUCAGCCGCAAGGCAGUUGUGAAGGUGCUGCAUGGUUGUCGUCAGCUCGUGCCGUGAGGUGUCGGCUUAAGUGCCAUAACGAGCGCAACCCUUAUCGAUAGUUACUAGCAGGUCAUGCUGAGGACUCUAUUGAGACUGCCGUCGUAAGAUGUGAGGAAGGUGGGGAUGACGUCAAAUCAGCACGGCCCUUACGUCCGGGGCUACACACGUGUUACAAUGGGGGGUACAGAAGGCAGCUACACGGCGACGUGAUGCUAAUCCCUAAAGCCUCUCUCAGUUCGGAUUGGAGUCUGCAACCCGACUCCAUGAAGCUGGAUUCGCUAGUAAUCGCGCAUCAGCCACGGCGCGGUGAAUACGUUCCCGGGCCUUGUACACACCGCCCGUCAAGCCAUGAAAGCCGGGGGUACCUGAAGUGCGUAACCGCGAGGAGCGCCCUAGGGUAAAACUGGUGAUUGGGGCUAAGUCGUAACAAGGUAGCCGUACCGGAAGGUGCGGCUG
rnacentral:rRNA from 1 species